rnacentral:tRNA from 1 species
GUGAGUGUAGCUCAGAUGGCAGAGCACUGGGUUGUGGCCCCAGUGGUCGUGGGUUCAAGUCCCAUCACUCACCCCA